CCUACGGGUGGCUGCAGUGGGGAAUAUUGGGCAAUGGGCGCAAGUCUGACCCAGCAACGUCGCGUGAAGGGUGACGGCCCUCGGGUUGUAAACCUUCUUUGAUAGGGACGUAGCACGUGACGGUACUUCACUUUUACGUCACGGCUAACUACGUGCCAGCAGCCGCGGUGAUACGUAGGAGGCAGGCGUUAUCCGGAUUUACUGGGUUUAAAGGGGGUGUAGGCGGGGAAGGAAGUCAGAUGUGAAAUCUACGGGCUCAACCUGUUGACUGCAUUUGAUACUGUGUGUCUUGAGUGCAGGUGAGGCAAUCGGAAUUCGGGGUGUAGCGGUGAAAUGCGUAGAUAUACGGAAGAACACCAAUGGCGAAGGCAGAUUGCUAGACAGUAACUGACACUGAGGCGCGAAAGCGUGGGUAGCAAACAGGAUUAGAUACCCUUGUAGUC
rnacentral:rRNA from 1 species